rnacentral:rRNA from 1 species
UAGGGAAUCUUCGGCAAUGGACGAAAGUCUGACCGAGCAACGCCGCGCGAGUGAAGAAGGUUUUCGGAUCGUAAAACUCUGUUGUUAGAGAAGAACAAGGACGUUAGUAACUGAACGUCCCCUGACGGUAUCUAACCAGAAAGCCACGGCUAACUACGUGCCAGCAGCCGCGGUAAUACGUAGGUGGCAAGCGUUGUCCGGAUUUAUUGGGCGUAAAGCGAGCGCAGGCGGUUUCUUAAGUCUGAUGUGAAAGCCCCCGGCUCAACCGGGGAGGGUCAUUUGAAACUGGGAGACGUGAGUGCAGAAGAGGAGAGUGGAAUUCCAUGUGUAGCGGUGAAAUGCGUAGAUAUAUGGAGAAACACCAGUGGCGAAGGCGGCUCUCUGGUCUGUAACUGACGCUGAGGCUCGAAAGCGUGGGGAGCAAACAGG